ACCUGGCUGGCUCAGUCGGAAGAGCAUGGGACUCUUGAACUUGGGGUAGUGAGUUUGAGCCCCAUGUCAGGUG
rnacentral:tRNA from 1 species